rnacentral:rRNA from 1 species
UACGUAGGGAGCAAGCGUUGUUCGGAUUUACUGGGCGUAAAGGGCGCGUAGGCGGCGCGGUAAGUCACUUGUGAAAUCUCUGAGCUUAACUCAGAACGGCCAAGUGAUACUGCAGUGCUAGAGUGCAGAAGGGGCAAUCGGAAUUCUUGGUGUAGCGGUGAAAUGCAUAGAUAUCACGAAGAACACCAGUGGCGAAGGCGGCCGGCUGGGUCAGUAUUGACGCUGAGGCACGAGAGCGUGGGGAGCGAACAGG